AAACUGAAUAAACGAAACAAUUAGGUUAUUUAUAAAUUUGUGUUGUGUUUAAAGCUUCAUUUUGAAGUUUAAUUCCGUAAAUCAUACAAGAAUAAACGUUUAUACUAUUGUCUUGAUGGAAAAAAUACCAUUACUCGUAACAUGGGUAAUAUUAUUCGAGCAUAUAUAUCAAGAGACGUAGCACUGUCGUUUGUGGCGGUAAAAGCAACUCAAAACAAAAAAAUUUUCAAAGAUACAAAUUUUUUCACUUGUAUAAAAAGGAUCUGCUGUAAGACAAAAAUCCCAAAAAAAUCAAGAUAUUAUUCCUGACACCAAAUUGCAUCAAGCAUUAUCGUCAGUGCUAAAUAAUGCUAAAGAUUGGGAUGGCCACAGAGUAGCCAGGAUAAAAAAACAAGAAAAUAAAAAAAUAACUUUUUUUUGUUCACUUUU